AGUCGGCUCGAGACGACGCUGGCGGCGUGCUUAACACAUGCAAGUCGAACGAAAGGCCCUGCUUUUGUGGGGUGCUCGAGUGGCGAACGGGUGAGUAACACGUGAGUAACCUGCCCUUGACUUUGGGAUAACUUCAGGAAACUGGGGCUAAUACCGGAUAGGAGCUCCUGCUGCAUGGUGGGGGUUGGAAAGUUUCGGCGGUUGGGAUGGACUCGCGGCUUAUCAGCUUGUUGGUGGGGUAGUGGCUUACCAAGGGCUUUGACGGGUAGCCGGCCUGAGAGGGUGACCGGCCACAUUGGGACUGAGAUACGGCCCAGACUCCUACGGGAGGCAGCAGUGGGGAAUAUUGCACAAUGGGCGGAAGCCUGAUGCAGCAACGCCGCGUGCGGGAUGACGGCCCUCGGGUUGUAGACCGCUUUCGCCUGUGACGAAGCGUGAGUGACGGUAAUGGGUAAAGAAGCACCGGCUAACUACGUG
rnacentral:rRNA from 1 species